rnacentral:lncRNA from 1 species
CCAACAAUGAAGCAUAAAUCCAUUCCUAGAGGGUGGGGUCUGCAAGGAGAAGGACAUUGUCAUCUUCAUUAGAUUGUUUAUAUUCAGCUUGGUGUCAGACUACUGUGGUGGACAUUCUUGGGGAAGGUGAUUUGCCACACCACCAGGAACUACAUCUCAUCGUGACUCUGGCCCGCAUCCCACUGAGCAACCCCAACUCCUCAUGGGAGUUCAUGGAAGCCACGGCCACCCAGCAUUGCCACAGCAAGAAGGCUCAGGAGGUGCAUAACUGAUCUGCAGAUGAACCCAGCACCUACUCAGGAAUGGCUGGAGCCGCAGCAGCUACCUUAUGACCGUGGGAUACAAGCCAAGAGAAUCACAGAGAUGCCAUCUUCCACAGAGCAGAGCUGCUAAAUCAACACUUCUAAUUCCCUCCAGACUUAACAUAUGAGAAUUCGGCUGUUACCCAACCAGCCAAAUGUAUGCUUGCCCGGCUAACUUAAAGUGCUGUGGUAAGGACGAAGGGCUGCUAAACGUAUUGUAUGGA